GACGAACGCUGGCGGCGUGCCUAACACAUGCAAGUCGAGCGAGGACAGAGAAGUAGCAAUACGACGCUGUUCUAGCGGCGGACGGGUGAGUAACGCGUGAGCAACCUGUCCCGAACAGGGGGAUAACGAGCCGAAAGGCUCACUAAUACCGCAUGAGACCACAACGUCACAUGACGAAGGGGUCAAAGGAGAAAUCCGGUUCGGGGUGGGCUCGCGUCUGAUUAGCUAGUUGGUGGGGUAAAGGCCUACCAAGGCGACGAUCAGUAGCCGGCCUGAGAGGGUGAACGGCCACACUGGAACUGAGACACGGUCCAGACUCCUACGGGAGGCAGCAGUGGGGAAUAUUGCACAAUGGGCGCAAGCCUGAUGCAGCGACGCCGCGUGAGCGAAGAAGGUUUUCGGAUCGUAAAGCUCUGUCCUCUGGGAAGAAAAAAAUGACGGUACCAGAGGAGGAAGCCCCGGCUAACUACGUG
rnacentral:rRNA from 1 species